UACGUAGGGUGCGAGCGUUAAUCGGAAUUACUGGGCGUAAAGCGUGCGCAGGCGGUGAUGUAAGACAGAUGCGAAAUCCCCGGGCUCAACCUGGGAACUGCAUUUGUGACUGCAUCGCUGGAGUGCGGCAGAGGGGGAUGGAAUUCCGCGUGUAGCAGUGAAAUGCGUAGAUAUGCGGAGGAACACCGAUGGCGAAGGCAAUCCCCUGGGACUGCACUGACGCUCAUGCACGAAAGCGUGGGGAGCAAACAGG
rnacentral:rRNA from 1 species